GGGAACUUCACACAUGUCUUCAUCUCAAGGCUUUUCAAAAACUUUCCCUAAAGGAUUUUGAAGCCUUCAUUGUUUUAAGGCCACCAGACAGCAAGUUGCAUUUAGAGCAGGGACCCUGUUGUAGGGGUGAUAAAUGUAUUCAGGGAAUAUGGCCACGUUUGGUGGAAAAGCUGUUUGUCUACCUUGGAGUCAUUCGAAUACUAUUUUGGCACUAUAAUCCUUUGAGGCCUGCUUUCAGUUUCCCCACAUAGUCUGAUGACUUUACACUCAACCUGCUCCAAGUGUAAGUAAGGAAAGGAUGGUCCAAAACGUACUGGUUUUGCCUCUGCUAAUGUUAGCUGGUGUCAUUGGUCACAUCAUUUGGUGUACCCAUGGAUUGCUUAUGUCUUCUAUAAAACCAGGGAAGCACAUUCCAGUGUCUUCAAAUUACAUCUAGCACAGGAAAGAGUUUUUGUUUCUUUCUUUUGUUUUUCCAGUGAAACAAAUAAUUGGACCUAAUGAGAGAUUUCUCGAAAACACCCAAGAUGAGUUGUGAGGAAAACUGAGCAGCAGGAACAUGGAACGAUAGAUACUUAGGUGUGAAGAGAAAAUAGUCCUUUGAUGUUGCUUACAUCACAAUGUCCGACGGAUUGAACUCUCUAUGCUUGGGAUACUGCUGUAGUAUUACUGGAACAGAAAUCUAUUAAAAAUGAGCAAGCACAGGCCAUCUUGGGAAUUACCUUUAAGGGAAAAAAAAUACUUGAAUUUGCUUUCCUAUUCUAUCCGAUCCUUCUGAAACUUCAACUUUCACUUAAACAGCUUCAUUAUCAGUGGGGAUUCAAACAGAAAUGAAUUGUCUGGGAAAAGUUCAGCGAAUACUGCUCCUGGAAAGGGGUUUCCGAAGGGCACGCGCAGAAAAGCUAGUUCCUUCACUAUUCUCUUUGGUUUGGCUAUUAUCUUACACUUGCCUUCAAGCAGAAGGUCUCCCAAUGGAUGAAUUAUCUCCUAGGCGAUCCAGAAGUCUCCUCAAGGAUGCAGGAUUUUCUAGUCAACUAGAAAAUCAAGUAAAGGUGCAGCUAUGACAUCACAGUCCCAUGGACACCAUACAGUGACAACUGAAAAUAAAGGCUAUCUCCAC
rnacentral:lncRNA from 1 species